GCCAGUGUGGCUCAAUGGUUAGAGCAUCGGCCUGUGCACUGAAGGGUCGUGGGUUCAAUUCCUGGUCAAGGGUA
rnacentral:tRNA from 1 species